UACAGAGGGUGCGAGCGUUGUCCGGAAUCACUGGGCGUAAAGGGCGCGUAGGUGGCGACCCAAGUCGAUGGUAAAAGCUCGCCGCUCAACGGCGAGUCGGCCACCGAUACUGGGUUGCUGGAGCACUGUAGAGGCAGAUGGAAUUCCGGGUGUAGCGGUGGAAUGCGUAGAUAUUGGGAGGAACACCAGUGGCGAAGGCGGCUCACUGGACCGGAACUGACGCUGAGGUGCGAAAGCCAGGGGAGCAAACGGG
rnacentral:rRNA from 1 species